GGGCGUCAUGUGGGCUUAGUAGGCGUGCUGCAUGGGCGCUUGACAUCGAAAUUUAAAUAAGAAGCGGGGCAUUUCCCCUCUUUUUGGACAUAAGGCUGGCUUCAUGGGCUGAUCUGGGCGGAAGACAUUAUUAGGUGGGGAGUUUGGCUGGGGCGGCACAUCUGUUAAAAGAUAGUGCAUGUGUCCUAAGAUGAGCUCAGUGAGAACAGAAAUCUCGUGUGGAACAGAAGGGUAAAAGCUCAUUUGAUUCUGAUUUCCAGUACGAAUACAAACUGUGAAAGUGUGGCCUAACGAUCCUUUAGACCUUCGGAAUUCGAAGCUAGAGGUGACAUAAAGGUUACC
rnacentral:ncRNA from 1 species